GACGAACGCUGGCGGCGUGCUUAAAACAUGCAAGUCGAACGGAAAGGCCCUGCUUUUGUGGGGUGCUCGAGUGGCGAACGGGUGAGUAACACGUGAGUAACCUGCCCUUGACUUUGGGAUAACUUCAGGAAACUGGGGCUAAUACCGGAUAGGAGCUCCUGCUGCAUGGUGGGGGUUGGAAAGUUUCGGCGGUUGGGGAUGGACCCGCGGCUCAUUAGCUUGUUGGUGGGGUAGUGGCUUACCAAGGCUUUGACGGAUAGCCGGCCUGAGAGAGUGACCGGCCGCAAUAGGACGGAGGUACGGCGCAGACUGCUAGGGGUGGCAGCAGUGGGGAAUAUUUCACGAUGGGCGGAAGCGUGAUGGAGCCACGCCGCGUGCGGGAUGACGGCCUUCGGGUUGUAAACCGCUUUCGCCUGUGACGAAGCGUCAGUGACGGUAAUGUGUAAAGAAGCACCGGCUAACUACGUG
rnacentral:rRNA from 1 species